rnacentral:rRNA from 1 species
AUACGUAGGGUGCGAGCGUUGUCCGGAAUUACUGGGUGUAAAGGGUUGCGCGGGCGGAUUUGCGCGUCGAAGGUUAAAGACCUUGGCUUAACCAAGGAAGUGCCCUCGAUACGGCAAGUCUUGAAUAUGAGAGAGGAUGGUAGAAUUCCUGGUGUAGCGGUGAAAUGCGUAGAUAUCAGGAGGAAUACCGGUGGCGAAGGCGACUUACUGGACUGUAACUGACGCUGAGUCACGAAAGCGUGGGUAGC